rnacentral:rRNA from 1 species
UACGGAGGGGGCAAGCGUUGUUCGGAAUUACUGGGCGUAAAGCGUGCGCAGGCGGUUUUGUAAGCCAGAUGUGAAAGCCCCGGGCUCAACCUGGGAAUGGCAUUUGGGACUGCAAGGCCGGAGUAUGGCAGAGGAGACUAGAAUUCCUGGUGUAGCAGUGAAAUGCGUAGAUAUCAGGAGGAAUACCGAUGGCGAAGGCAGGUCUCUGGGCCAAUACUGACGCUCAUGCACGAAAGCGUGGGGAGCAAACAGG